rnacentral:rRNA from 1 species
AUUGAACGCUGGCGGCAUGCCUUACAUAUGCAAGUCGAACGGCAGCACGGGUGCUUGCACCUGGUGGCGAGUGGCGAACGGGUGAGUAAUACAUCGGAACGUACCUUAUCGUGGGGGAUAACGCAGCGAAAGUUGCGCUAAUACCGCAUACGCCCUGAGGGGGAAAGCGGGGGACCGUAAGGCCUCGCGCGAUUAGAGCGGCCGAUGUCUGAUUAGCUUGUUGGUGAGGUAAAAGCUCACCAAGGCGAUGAUCAGUAGCUGGUCUGAGAGGACGAUCAGCCACACUGGGACGAAGACACGGCCCAGACUCCUACGGGAGGCAGCAGUGGGGAAUUUUGGACAAUGGGGGCAACCCUGAUCCAGCAAUGCCGCGUGAGUGAAGAAGGCCUUCGGGUUGUAAAGCUCUUUUGUCAGGGAAGAAACAGCAGCUCUAACACAGUCUGCGAAUGACGGUACCUGAAGAAUAAGCACCGGCUAACUACGUGCCAGCAGCCGCGGUAA